AGCGAACGUUAGCGGCGGGCUUAACACAUGCAAGUCGAGCGAGAAAGGGACUUCGGUCCUGAGUAAAGCGGCGGACGGGUGAAUAUCGCGUAGGUAACCUGCCUUUCAGUGGGGGACAACGGUCCGAAAGGACCGCUAAUACCGCGUACGUAUCCCGGGGCUCCGGCCUUGGGGUGGAAAGCUAGGUCGCAAGAUCUGGCGCUGAAAGAGGGGCCUGCGUCGCAUCAGCUAGUUGGUGGGGUAACGGCCUACCAAGGCGAAGACGCGUAGCUGGUCUGAGAGGAUGAUCAGCCACACUGGGACUGAGACACGGCCCAGACUCCUACGGGAGGCAGCAGUGGGGAAUAUUGGACAAUGGGCGCAAGCCUGAUCCAGCCACGCCGCGUGAGUGAUGAAGGCCUUCGGUCGUAAGACUCUGUGGGAGGGACGGAACCGCCGAACUCGUGCAUAGCGGGUGGCGAUGACGGUACCUCCUUAGCAAGCACCGGCAACUUCGUGCCAGCAGCCG
rnacentral:rRNA from 1 species